UAUGGGAGAGAAACAAUCAACUGAUCACAAUUAAUUCGUUGAUUUAGAAACAGUUAAUUUGUUGAUGACCUUAAGGUUGACACAAUUAGAGAAAACAACUAAAUUAACAAGUUAAAUUGGCGAAAGAAAAUAACCACAAUUAAAUUAGAUUUGUCAGAAGAAGAAAAUGAUUAAUCAAAUUUUUCUUUUUUUCCCCCAAAAGAGAGAGAGAAAAAAAGAAAGAGUUUUUUUGUUCUCUUUCGCUUUUUAGAAAAGAAUUUAAAAAACCUCAAUCUCUUCUCCAAAUCUCCAAUAUCUUCAUUUUGUGUUCUGGUUCAUUCGUUGACUACUACAGGUAAUGAUGUAUUUAUGUGUUGCUGGCGAAAAUGUUCAUCUACUACUGUUAUUUAGGAAAAAGGAAACAUUAUCCUUUCACCUUAACCUCAUCUCCCUUUUUCUCUCUCUCUCUCAAAGGGUAAGCCAUCUUUGGAUUAGUUGACAGAAACAACAAUAACCCAACCAACCAAAGUAAAAAGAUUAACAUUAUUAAUUGAUGUUGAUGGAAAUACCUCUAAUUGUUGGUGAUAUACACAUGAGGCUUUUGUUAUAUUCUUCAAGUAAUUUACUCUCAUAGUUACAUUACCUGGUUAAUUAAAACGAAUCAAAAGUGAUUUUUUUUGUUCUUCAGCCUUUGGAUUUACCUUUUCUACCCUCAUCUUUUAACCUCAAUCUCCAUAGAAACUGGUAUUGAAUCAAUGUGAUGAUUUGUUUCAAUUCUUGCCUUGUGAAAAAUUCUGUGAAUGCUGAUGCCUAUUUUCAUCCCUUUUGUGGUGUUGCUAUUUUAUUCAAUGCACUGAAUAGAAUAUCAAUUACUAAUUGCUUUAAUUGUAACAUUGUUCAGUCAACUCUUUCACUCUUUCUGGUUAGUAUCAUUUAGAAAUAGAAAUUAUAUAAAAAAAAAUAUCUCCAAGGUUGAAACUAUUCUUGCUGUUGGAUUAAUGUUAAGCUUAUCUCAUUAAAAGAAGGAUUAGUUUGGACCAAUUAGAGGUAAAGAUUUUCUCUCUCGCUUCGCCAUCAACUGAUUGAUUAAUCUCUUUCCUCUCUGAGUCUAUUAUUCACUAAGAGAGAGAGGAAGAGAUAGUGAUGAUAACAAUUCCAAAUUUUCAUCUCCAUUCUGGGAUUCCGAUUCCACAGUCCCAGUGAGAUAUUGAUUCAAUGUAACCAAUUCUCUGUCUCUCUUCAAAUCAAAUUGUUCCUCGAAUUGAUCACAUUCUAAUUUGCUGUUGAUCAAUGGAUUUUCUCUUGUAUCUCUUUACAAUUUCAUCGUUAUAAUUUUUUCCUUCUUUUACUCUCCAAUGAUUAUUUCUUCCAAAAGAAUCACUUGUUAAAGACAUUCGAUGAUAUUAACGAUCAGUUUUCUCUGAUGAACUUGUUGCUGUUUAUAACUGAUCAGCUUGUUAGUGAUCUUCUAAUCAUCCAUAUGAUUGCUGUUUGUAUUUCAUCGUUUCUUUUUAUAUCUACCUGUUAUUUUCUAUAUAUUACAUCCACUUUCUACCUCCUUAAGCUAAUAUUCCUAAUAACUUGGAUUCUAAGAGUGAUAACUUACAGUUAACUUGGUAAUUCUAUUGGGGAUAUCUUUUAGUCUUUCCAUCACAUCGUCUCCACUGUCAAUACACCUAAUCAACAAUUUAACAACAAUUGGUUACACUAAAUUAACAUGGUAUCGAUGGAGACACUCGAAGGGUGGACAGGAAGGUAAACAGAUGUUAUAUGUUGGUAGGAGAUGGACCAAGAGGACAUGAUGACGAUGGUAAUGUUCAUGGAUAAAGAGAAAAAAACUAAAAGAGAGAGAGAGAAAGAAAGAGAAGAUGUAAAUGCAAAGAAGGUGGGCUAACGAGCUGCUCAGCUAGAAGUUUAUCAUCCAUACCAUAGAAAUCAUGAGGCAAUAGAAUUUAGUUGGUAAUUGUGAUACAAGACAAGAAAUUAAUUGGAAGAUGAGAGAGUCAAGUACCAUUGAAAAGUCUAUGAAUGUUCUGGUUCAUUGGAAAUGUAAGAAUUCGUGAUGAAAUUCAAUGUAUAGGUAAAAAUUCAUUAUUGUCAUCAGAGACGAGCUCCUGUUACCAUGAUGUGCGAUAGAAUCAACAAGGAAAAAGUUUUAAAAGCGAUCAUCUACUAUACACAGAGAGAGAAAUUAAUUAUCAAAAUCUAUGGAAUAUUUGACAAAAGAUGAAAUCAUGUAAAGUUCUGUCUAAUGUUACCAAUUCUCAGGCUGCUCUAACCACUUGAACCAACUAUUUAUUAUAUGAAUGAAUGUCUUUUGGUUUGACGAAAAUAUAACAACAAAAGUGAAAUGUUGACCAACUUGGAAAAUAUGAGAACCAUUCGUAUCAAUGUUGUUUGUUUUCUCCUUGGAUGGUUUGAUGUUUGAAGGCCAUUAAUGUUUCGUUUCUGCUUUUUUACUUCCUCUUCCACCUUCUCCUUCAUAAUCUUUUCUCUCUCUCUUCUUUGUCAUACAUUAUCCAAAAUCCUUUUAAAGUAUGCAAUCAUCAACUUCUAUCUUUCGCCCAUCCUGAAACGUCACUGUCGUUGAAGUGUCUGAUCCACUUUCAUCUAAAUGUUAUCCUAUUCUAUCAUCUUCUUUUCAUCUUUCUCUUCAUCUCUAAAUCUUCAUCUUCUUUCUUUUUCUCUUGAUUCUUUCACAUUUUCAAAGCUUUUUACCAAUUGUGUCCAUCGAAUCAAUGAUUUCCGGUUUAAUGAUCAACCUUUCCAUUUCUCCCUCUUGUCAUUUCCCAUUUAAGAGCUUCCAUCUUAAGAACUUUUUGUUAUCACUCAAAUAACUGACCAGAGAGAAAGAUAUACAAACUGACCAAUCACUCUUGAUAAUCAUAACAUAAUAAUCAUGGAAACAGCAAUAAUAAUAACAACAAAAAUAUGAAUUAUAUUUAUAUAUAAAUGUAUUUAAAUGUAAUACAUGAUAUAAAUAUCGUAUAAUCAACCUUGUUUUUUACUCAAUAUACUAAAUUCAUUGAGACAUUCAACUAAUCAGAUAUAACAAUUGAGUAACUUAUACUUUUCCAUCUGAUGAUCUCUUGUUAUGUUUAAAUCCAAUAAUUUAUUAUUAUCAAUGAUAAUUGUAUCCUCAUCAUAUCCCAUUUAUUAUCCUUAUCCAAGUCUAAUCUUAAUGCUCACUAAAUUAUCACAAUCUUACAAUUACAAUUACAAUUACAGUUACAUGUAUAUUAACCAGGGCGAAUGAUUGAAUAAUCUUAUUAAUAACCUUUUCCUUUUCCGUUCUGCAGGUUAACCUCAACCUAUUGGUAUCAUGUUCACCAAUCAUUAAUUGGAAUUGUUUUCUUGCCAAUAAGGUGAAAGGAAUUAAAGUUUCACAAUUAAAUGUCUCAUAUGAGCCCAUCAGGAAAAAACAACAACAAUUAAAGAGCCAGAAUUGUGGAGGAAUCGGAAAUAAUUGGCUUCUUGGUUACAAUCAACUGAUACUGGUGAUUAAAGUUAAUAUAUUUGAAUCUCUUGAUGAUCAAUAUUGAUAGUUGAACAAUUAACUGUUACAAUCAACUUGGAUGUACAUGUAUUACCAUAGAUGACGAAAUGAUUUGAUUGGGAUCAAUUAACUGACUGUAGUUGGAUUGAAUAGUUUACCAUUUAUAAUGAUGAUUAUGAUUGAUGGUAAUCAACGAUUCAUUUGAUUAAUUUAACUAAUAACGUUAAAGAAAUGGAUUCAUGUUCGCCCUGAUUAAUAUAUUAUUCAACAUCAUCUUUUGAUAACCAUGAUUAAAAUUCCAAUGUUUGAAUCAAUGGAGAAACAUGUGAGAUUUAAAGGUGAUCAAGCAAGAAAAAACAGAGAAACAAUUAGAUCUAAUUGUUGAUUGUUUACUGAUUAAUUCAAUAACAUGGAAGAUGAUUAAUUAUCAAGAAGGAAAAAGUUGAAGGUCUCAUUGGAAUGACAAUUAACACCUACUACCACCCAAAGAAUUGCGAUGAAAAUUUUAUAAUCGAUGAUGAUGAUUAUCUUAACUGUUAAUAAUAAUAUCGUUAACUGGAUUAAUUGAAUGGCUUGAAUCAUGGAAACUAAUGGAACAGGCAAACGGAAUUAAUUUACAUGAUAAUGGGAAAAAAGUUCUGAUGACAGAAUGAUGAUGAAAAAAACGAUGAGCA